rnacentral:rRNA from 1 species
GAUGAACGCUAGCGGCAGGCUUAAUACAUGCAAGUCGAGGGGCAGCAUGAAUGUAGCAAUACAUUUGAUGGCGACCGGCAAACGGGUGCGGAACACGUACACAACCUUCCUAUAAGUGGGGAAUAGCCCAGAGAAAUUUGGAUUAAUACCCCGUAACAUAAUGAUGUGGCAUCACAUUAUUAUUAUAGCUACGGCGCUUAUUGAUGGGUGUGCGGCUGAUUAGAUAGUUGGCGGGGUAACGGCCCACCAAGUCUACGAUCAGUAGCUGAUGUGAGAGCAUGAUCAGCCACACGGGCACUGAGACACGGGCCCGACUCCUACGGGAGCAGCAGUAAGGAAUAUUGGUCAAUGGACGCAAGUCUGAACCAGCCAUGCCGCGUGAAGGAUUAAGGUCCUCUGGAUUGUAAACUUCUUUUAUCUGGGACGAAAAAAGGCGAUUCUUCGUCACUUGACGGUACCAGAUGAAUAAGCACCGGCUAACUCCGUCG